rnacentral:snoRNA from 1 species
AUUUUACAGAAAGAAGUACGUCAGAAAGGGUAAGGACCAUGCAUGUGUCCCCAGACCUAGUUCUUUGCCUAGGUCUGGUUUUAUAAAUGCUGGUGAUAAAC